rnacentral:rRNA from 1 species
AGCAGCCGCGGUAAUUCCAGCUCCAAUAGCGUAUAUUAAAGUUGUUGCAGUUAAAAAGCUCGUAGUUGAAUUUUAGGCCUGGCCGGACGGUCCGUCUCUGGCGAGUACUGUUCUGUCGUCGGGUCUAUCCUUCUGGUGAGCCGGUAUGUUCUUAAUUGGGCGUGUCGGGGAACCAGGACCAUUACCUUGAAAAAUUAGAGUGUUUAAAGCAGGCUUUUGCUUGAAUAGAUUAGCAUGGAAUAAUAGAAUAGGACGUUGUGGUUCUAUUUUGUUGGUUCUAGGACCACCGUAAUGAUUAAUAGGGAUAGUUGGGGGCAUUAGUAUUCAAUUGUCAGAGGUGAAAUUCUUGGAUUUAUUGAAGACUAACUACUGCGAAAGCAUUUGCCAAGGAUGUUUUCAUUAAUCAAGAACGAAAGUUAGGGGAUCGAAGACGAUCAGAUACCGUCGUAG